AUGUUUUGUCCUCACCAGCAACAGGGAUGUCUUCUCUGCCUGCUGUCCCUAAAGCACCCAGCACAGAUGCAGAGCAGGAGAGACGCAAGUCCCAAGACGGCCUGGACACCGUGUCCCUCCAAGCAUCUGCUGCAGGGUCCCCCCUCUAGACCUCAUGUGUCUGGGAGGAAGCAAAAGUCAUCAGGCCCCCUGUUCUGCUCCUCAGACACCCUUCCUGCCACCUCUGCACACUCCCGAGACUCAGCCCAGGCCACAUCGUCUGCUCCAACGCAUCCAGCCCAGGGCACGACAGCACACUCAGCCGCAGGGGCUUCCUUACCCACCACUUCCAACUUGAGCCCCCGCACCAAAAGGAAGUGGACCUGGGCUGCAGACACGGCUGGGAGCCUUCCUGACCCAUCUCCUGCCUCUCCCACCGCCACCCUGGUCAGUGGUCCCACCUCAGUACUGAAACUUCCUGUUACGGCUGCAGCCACCACCCAGCCCAAACCUGUGGUCCUUCAUGGACAGCAGCAGGGAACCCAUGGCUUGAAGCAGCCUCAUCCAUCUUCCCAUCCAGCUGUUUCAGCUGUAGCCCAGGCCUCAUCUUCUGCUCCAACACAGCCAGCCCAGGGCACCACAGCACACUCAGCAGCUGGGGUUUCCUUACCCACCACUUCCACCUGGAACCUGGCUGGGACCCUUUCUAACCCGUCUUCUGCCUCUCUCAUCACCACCCUGGCCAGACUGAGGAUCAGUGGUCCCACCUCAGUACUGAAACUUCCCGUGACUGCUGCAGCCACCACCCAGCCCAAACCUGUGGUCCUUCAUGGACAGCAGCAGGGAACCCACGGCUUGAAGCGGCCUCAUCCAUCUUCCCGUCCAGCUGCUUCAGCUGCAGCCCAGGCCUCAUCUUCUGCUCCAACACAGCCAGUCCAGGGCACCACAGCACACUCAGCCGCAGGGGUUUCCUUAUCCACCACUUCCAAUUCGAGCCAGGCUGGGACCCUUUCUAACCCAUUUUCUUCCUCUCCCCGUGAUGCACAUGCUGCCUCCUCAGAUUGUACACCUGCCAAAGUUAGGCGACUCUGCUAA
rnacentral:lncRNA from 13 species